rnacentral:rRNA from 1 species
GAUGAACGCUGGCGGCGUGCCUAACACAUGCAAGUCGAGCGGACCGUUGCUCAUUUCAGCUUUGCUGAUUUGAGCAACGGUUAGCGGCGGACGGGUGAGUAACGCGUGGGCAACCUGCCCUGUGCAGGGGGAUAACACAGCGAAAGCUGUGCUAAUACCCCAUAAGACUACGCUAUCGCAUGAUAGAGUAGUCAAAGCUUUAGCGGCACAGGAUGGGCCCGCGUCUGAUUAGCUAGUUGGUGGGGUAACGGCCUACCAAGGCGACGAUCAGUAGCCGACCUGAGAGGGUGAUCGGCCACACUGGAACUGAGACACGGUCCAGACUCCUACGGGAGGCAGCAGUGGGGAAUAUUGCACAAUGGGGGAAACCCUGAUGCAGCAACGCCGCGUGAGCGAAGAAGGCCUUCGGGUCGUAAAGCUCUGUCCUAAGGGAAGAAGUAUGACGGUACCUUAGGAGGAAGCCCCGGCUAACUACGUGCCAGCAGCCGCGGUAAUACGUAGGGGGCGAGCGUUAUCCGGAAUCACUGGGCGUAAAGGGUGCGUAGGCGGCCGAGUAAGCCAGAGGUGAAAGGCUACGGCUUAACCGUAGUAAGCCUUUGGAACUACUUGGCUUGAGUGCGGGAGAGGAGAGUGGAAUUCCUAGUGUAGCGGUGAAAUGCGUAGAUAUUAGAGGAACACCAGUGGCGAAAGCGACUCUCUGGACUGUAACUGACGCUGAGCACGAAAGCGUGGGGAGCAAACAGGAUUAGAUACCCUGGUAGUCCACGCCGUAAACGAUGAGUGCUAGGUGUCGGGGGUUCACACCCUCGGUGCCGGAGUUAACGCAAUAAGCACUCCGCCUGGGGAGUACGGUCGCAAGACUGA